ensembl:snRNA U4 U4 spliceosomal RNA
AGCUUUGCACAGUGGCAGUAUUGUAGCCAAUGAGGUUUAUCCGAGGCACAAUUAUUGCUAAUUGAAAACUUUUCCCAAUACCCCGCCAUGACGAUUUGAAAUAUAGUCUGCAUUGGCAAUUUUUGACAGUCUCUAUGGAGA